UAACGCGUGGGGAACCUACCCUAUACAGGGGGAUAACAGCUGGAAACGGCUGCUAAUACCGCAUAAGCGCACAGAAUCGCAUGAUUCAGUGCGAAAAGCCCUGGCAGUAUAGGAUGGUCCCGCGUCUGAUUAGCUGGUUGGUGAGGUAACGGCUCACCAAGGCGACGAUCAGUAGCCGGCUUGAGAGAGUGAACGGCCACAUUGGGACUGAGACACGGCCCAA
rnacentral:rRNA from 1 species